rnacentral:lncRNA from 1 species
AAAUGACAAAAUUAAAGUGCAUUAAAUGAAACACAAUGUACCAAUCCUCAUAUGUUGACCAAUAACAUUGAAAGUCAAGGUCAAACAGUCAAAAACAGAAGUGAGAUGAAGAUUGGAUGUCAAGAAAUGAAUAAACUAUUUUUGGCAUUUUUUAAUAUUAAAAAUAAACUUGAAUUAAAAUAUUAAAGAAAGGUCAAACUUCAAAAUCACUUCAAA